GAUGAACGCUAGCGGCAGGCUUAACACAUGCAAGUCGAGGGGUAACAGAGUAGCUUGCUAUUGCUGACGACCGGCGCACGGGUGCGUAACGCGUAUGAAAUCUACCUAUAACUAAGGGAUAGCCCAGAGAAAUUUGGAUUAAUACCUUAUAGUAUUUAUUAAUGGCAUCGUUUAUGAAUUAAAGAUUUAUUGGUUAUAGAUGAUCAUGCGUCCUAUUAGCUAGUUGGUAAGGUAAUGGCUUACCAAGGCUACGAUAGGUAGGGGCCCUGAGAGGGGGAUCCCCCACACUGGUACUGAGACACGGACCAGACUCCUACGGGAGGCAGCAGUGAGGAAUAUUGGACAAUGGAGGGAACUCUGAUCCAGCCAUGCCGCGUGCAGGAAGACUGCCCUAUGGGUUGUAAACUGCUUUUAUACAGGAAGAAUAGUUGCUACGUGUAGCAUUACGACGGUACUGUAAGAAUAAGGAUCGGCUAACUCCG
rnacentral:rRNA from 1 species